AAAAACAAUAGUAAUAAAAAACACGUGUUUUUAUUACUCUACGUAAAAAAAUUACGUAUGAAUUUUUUAAUCUAAUUAAUAUAAUUUAAUUAAUCAAAAGUAAAAAAUAUUUUAUUUAAAAAAAAAUCAGCCAUGUUUGUUUUGACAGAAUUUAAAGAUGUUGUUAAAAUACCACCCUCAAAAUUUAAUUUAAAUAUUAAAGAUGCAAUUACUGAUGAAUUAAACAGAAAACUUUCAAACAAGGUAUUUAUAAAUGUUGGUUUAUGUAUUGCUCUAUAUGACAUUCUUGAUAUAAAAGAUUCAUAUAUAUUUCCUGGUGAUGAUGGUGCAUCACAUACAGUUGUUAUUUUUCGUUUUGUUGUGUUUCGUCCAUUUGUUGAAGAAAUAAUUGUUGGAAAAAUUCGUAAUUGCAGUCUUGAAGGUGUACAAGUUUCACUUGAAUAUUUUGAUGACAUAUUAAUUCCACCAAACAAACUUCAACAAAAGUCAAGAUUUGAUCAAAUGGAACAAGUUUGGAUUUGGGAAUAUGUUGAUGUUGAAUCUGGAGCAAAAACUGAUCUAUUUUUAGAUAAAGAUGAAUUGAUUCGAUUCAGAGUUGUUCAAGAAGUAUUUGUCGAAGAUGUACCAACAAAACCAGCAAUUUCUGCUGAUGGUAUUGAAGUACCAGAAACAAGUUUUACUCCAUAUUCACUCAUUGGAGGUAUUGAUGAGCCUGGUUUGGGUGUUUUAUCAUGGUGGGGUUAAAUUAUAAACAAAAAUAAUUUGGAAAUAAUUAUUUAUUGAUAUCAUCCUCAAAGCUUUGUCCUAACUGGCGUGCCAUGUGUUUUACAAACACGUCUGCUUGGAGACGAGGAAUACUUGGAGAAUAAAUAUUUUAAUACAUUAAAAAUCCCAAGAACUCCA